AGUGUAGCAUGUGAGGGUAAUUAUCUGUGUUCAUUUUCUAAAUGCCCUUCACUGCUGCAGAUUUUACUCUUGGUUACUGGGGGCAAGAGGAGUAGCUGAGCGAGCAAUUGACAUUGGACAUUGUCCCUCAAACUGUGGCUCAGUUUCCCAGAGACAAGUCCUCAAACUUCUGCUCUCAGGAGAAACCACAGAAUUGACCUUGUGAUCAGUGUGGCAGUGUGGAUUAGUAGCUUCUCUGUGUGGAUUCAGGUGAUUUUGAGGCAGAGGAGGUUGGAACCAAAGGUGGUAGCCGUGGUGAGGGCUGCAUGCGCAGUGUGUGAGGACUGGUCAGGGACUGGAAGCCUUGGGAUCAAUAACAGCUCAAGAGAACCUGGCUCUUAAAGACAGUUGAGUGAGGACUUCCUGAUGGCUACACAUCCUUUCAGACCCAUAGCGUAAAGUUUUCUUCUCACUGUGGAUGUUUUCAGACCAGAAGUAAAAGUGGAGCUUGAUUUUCUCCUGCCUCCUAUCUUUUAAUAAUGUUUUAAACUCCAGUGUUAGAAACUCUGGCUUUCUUCUUUUUUACACAAGUGGAUUAACUUACAUCAAAGCUGCCCAGAAAUAUGAAUAAAAAUGAAUAAGUUAAUGAUGGUUUAACUGGGAAUUACACAACUAAAGGGUGGUUUCUGACUUUUGCAUGUCAGUAGAUGUUGGAAUUUGGUCCUAAAUCACAUGAUAUUUUGUGAUACGUCAGUCAGUAACACAAAAGUAUAGAAUUUUGACAACUUGCCAUAAGUGAGCUGUUGUGUUGGCUGUCCUAACAGGCUAGCUAGGUUGUGUAUAUUUGCAUUGUGCCUGAAUAGUAUCUUAUGUUCAUGACAAAUCUGUAACAACUGGUCAGUAAAAAGUUGUUUCACUAAGUGUUAAUAAUGGAAACAAUAACCAUACCCCAUAUAUUUCAUGCGUUUUUCAUGUAUUCCAGAUAAGCAGUUAAUAUAAUUACCUCUUUAAACACAUGAGAAGGAGGCCCACAGGGACUGCAUUUGCACAGGGCCAAGAAAAUUGUGUGCUUGUGGUUCUAC
ensembl:lncRNA